AGCAGCCGCGGUAAUUCCAGCUCCAAUAGCGUAUAUUAAAGUUGUUGCAGUUAAAAAGCUCGUAGUUGAAUUUCGGGAUCAAUUCGUCGGUCGUGCUUUUUGGUACGUACUGGUGUUUAUUGGUUUCUCCCUUCUGACGAACCAUGAUGUCAUUAAUUUGGUGUUAUGGGGAGUUAGGACUGUUACUUUGAAAAAAUUAGAGUGUUUAAAGCAGGCAUUAGCUUGAAUACAUUAGCAUGGAAUAAUGAAAUAGGACGUUCGAUCCUAUUUUGUUGGCUUCUAGGAUCAACGUAAUGAUUAAUAGGGAUAGUUGGGGGCAUUAGUAUUCAAUUGUCAGAGGUGAAAUUCUUGGAUUUAUUGAAGACUAACUACUGCGAAAGCAUUUGCCAAGGAUGUUUUCAUUAAUCGAGAACGAAAGUUAGGGGAUCGAAGACGAUCAGAUACCGUCGUAGUCUUAACCAUAAACUAUGCCGACUAGGGAUCGGAUGAUGUUAAUUUUUUCAAUGACUCAUUCGGCGCC
rnacentral:rRNA from 1 species